rnacentral:rRNA from 1 species
UACAGAGGAGCCAAGCGUUGUCCGGAUUGACUGGGCGUAAAGCGCACGCAGGCGGGUGCGCGCGUGGGGUGUGAAAUCUGGCCGCUUAACGGCCAGGCGCCAUCCCAUACGGCGCGCCUGGAGCCUUGCAGAGGUCGGUGGAAUUGCCGGUGUAGUGGUGAAAUGCGCAGAUAUCAGGAGGAACACCAAUGGCGAAGGCAGCUCGCUGGGACGUGACUGACGCUGAGACGCGAAAGCGUGGGGAGCAAACAGG